UUUUUUUUUUUUUUUGGCUAUACCCAUGGCAUAUAGAAGUUCCUGGGCUAGGGACUGAAUCUGAGCCACAGCUGUGACCCACACCACAGCUGCAGCAACACUGAAUCCUCUAACCCACUGCACCAGGCUGGGGAUUGAACCUGCUUCUCUGCAGUGACGUGAGUUGGUGGUGCCAGAUUCCUAACCCACUGUGCCACAGUGGGAACUCCCCAUCUUGUAUUUCUUAUUUUAUAAAAUUUCUACAACAUAUUCCUUGGGAGAACUAUUGAGGCCCAGGGAAGACCAUCCCAAAAUACAUCUAAGUGUCAUACUGAUUACUUUGAAUUAAAGUUACUUAAGAAAUGGCUGAUGUAAGAGAAGCACUUUGACCCUCUUCUCUGUCUUCCUGAAAGCAGGAAAUAAAUCUCCCAUGUGAAAGGUGUCCUCCCUGCAUAGGGAAGUAAAAAAAUUCCUUCUCAUGAGAUAGGGAAUUCAGUGCUUAGAAACCUGUAUAAAUAAACCUUGAUACUUUAUUAAUUUACUACCCAACCCUAAACUUCACUUAAGCCCCUUUUUAGUUAAGCAUCCAAACCUAUUUCUUUGUCCUUGUCAACUCCUCACAAAUUUAUUGUUUCUCUGUAUAAAGAAAUAUAAAAUCUGCCUACUUUGGGUCACUCUCUGGGCAUCAUUUUAUGAUUGCCUGCGCACAUGAAAUUAAAUUGGGAUUUCUCCUGUUCAACUGUCUUGUGUAUCUUUUAUUAUUACUCCAGCGACAAGAACUCAAGAGGGGUAGAUAGGGGAAAUUUCUUCCUCCCUGAGACAAUGGUUUAUACCUGUGCCUCUGCUUAUAAUAAAUUUACCUUGAAAUUCACUCAAAAAUAAUUUGAGCAUUUUGCAUGGAUGCUCCUAGUUUUCCCCAUUACACCUGCCCAAAUAGGAAACAAGCUGUGAUUUUAAUUACUGUGAUCUUGGAGGAUGUGAUUUUCCACUAGUUUGUAGUAGGUACCCUAUGUGUAGCUUUGAGAUGGCAUCUCUCAAUGGUUUCCUGAGUCCUAGCUUCAUUCAAAGGAUUUAUUUCGGUCUGGUCUCUGUGAUGUUUACUAUAUUCUUCUGUUUGGUUUCUCAGGCUCUGAUCACUUUUCCUGGCUUUCUUAUCAAUAAAAGCCCUACCUCUUGUCCACCCAAAAGCUUAAAAGUAGUUAAAUCUUGGUAUACUGUGCCCUAAAUACAUUUUUUUCCUGCUUUAUUUGAAUUAUGGCUUCUGAAACCUUGAAUUUCUUUGAAGAAUAUGCCUUGACUGGCUUUGCUUGAUUCUCCUAGAUCAUGCUUCAAAGAUAGACUUUUCUUAAAAUACCACCUCCUAUUCAUCUAAACCAUUCUUCAAUUUCUCUACCGUUUUCCUAUGCCCUGACACUGUUUUCAUACCAGACUAAUGUUCAAGCUUAAUUCACUCCUGUGUAAGCUUCUUGAAUAAUAAUCAUUGAAGAGGUGUUCAAGUUGUUUGUGAUCGGCCUUCCUCUAACGCCCUCCGUAUGAAGGUUAUAUGCUCAAACCUGGCAGGAGCCUUCAUUUCUAUUUGUCUGUUCAGUAAUACAAUCUACCAUAUUUUAGUACCUAUGGAUAUUGUUUGGAUUUCAAAUCUUCACAAGCAUCGUCAUCAACUGAGGAGUAUAAUUUAAAGGUAUAUUAAUAAUAAUAUAAAAAGAUACACAAUUUUCUAAUUGGCCUUGCUUCUGCUCUGGUGAAGGAUAGUUGCAAUCUCUCAACUUUAUAAAAAUCUCUUAGCAACCUACACACUGGCUGAGACACAAAACCCAAGUUACUAAAUGGAAAACCCUAAAGAUUAGAUACCAUGUGUCCUGGCUUCCCCAAAAUGUUACAACAUUAGAACUUUGACUUCAAAAUUCUUUUUUUUUAGUUUUAUAAAAAAUUAUAGUUGAUUUACAAUGUUGUGCCAAUUUCUGCUGUACAACUAAGUGCCCUACUUCUAUAUAUGCAUAUGCAUAUAUAUGUGCAAUGUAUACAUAUAUGUAAAAACACAUACAUUCCUUUUCUUAUAUUGUCUUCUAUCAUUAUUCCACCCUAAAAAUCCAGGGAUUGUAUAAGGUGGUGUGUCUAUUUAAAGAGAUAAGAAAGCUAAGUCUUUUGGAGAAAUAAGCAACAAGUCCAUGAACACCCUGUAAAUACACAGCUAAGUGGAAACUUGCAGCUGGAUUUAUUAUAUCUCUCAUAAAUCUGCAUCCUUAACUGUUUCACUAAGCUUUCUCUGUGGAGUAGAAUACUCUAGCAUACAAGCUGAUCAGACGCUUCUUAAUAGGACCCAGUUCACACAGCCCUUAGUCAAAAAUAUUAGUAGUGCCGAGCAGAAAUAUAAGUCUGAGCCAAGAAACCUGUGUGAUGCCCACCUGAGCCUUCCUAAUGACAAAUGUGUUCCAACAGGUUUGAAUCCUUAGAAGAUAGAGGAUCUAGAGCAUCUCCCUCGUGGUAAUCCUACAGCUAUGUCAUGAUAUAUUCCGAAGACUUGAUAAAUCGGUAUAGUGAGGGGGUGAGGGGAAAAAUUAUCUUACACGCUGCUGGAGAGCUAAAGAACAUUCACUAAACAUCUGCAGCAAAAGCUAAACCUGGAUAAAGAUCUCAGGAAAAUAAUGAGGAGGAUGUUACAAGGAGUAUAAACACCACCAUGAAUAUAAGAGCAUAACUCUGAGAAGUUUUCACCCUCAGGCAAUCCCAAGCAGCCUUUGCCUACUGGAGUGGUCUUUCACCAGUGCACUCUUUCCCAGUGCAGACUUACCAUCUGGGAGGGAAGAGAGAGAAGAGGUUACUACUAACGUGAGACUUUUCUUUGGACAGAGUUUCAAGGUCAGGAGC
ensembl:lncRNA